CCUACGGGGGGCAGCAGUGAGGAAUAUUGGUCAAUGGUCGAGAGCCUGAACCAGCCAAGUCGCGUGAGGGAGUACUGCCCUAUGGGUUGUAAACCUCUUUUGUCGGGGAGCAAAAGCCGGACGUGUCCGGCUGUGAGAGUACCCGAAAAAAAAGCAUCGGCUAACUCCGUGCCAGCAGCCGCGGUAAUACGGAGGAUGCGAGCGUUAUCCGGAUUUAUUGGGUUUAAAGGGUGCGCAGGCGGAGUGUUAAGUCAGCGGUAAAAUCGUGGGGCUCAACCCCAUCCAGCCGUUGAAACUGGGGAUCUAGAGUGUGCGAGAGGUAUGCGGAAUGCGUGGUGUAGCGGUGAAAUGCAUAGAUAUCACGCAGAACCCCGAUUGCGAAGGCAGCAUACCGGUGCACAACUGACGCUCAGGCACGAAAGCGUGGGUAUCGAACAGGAUUAGAUACCCUUGUAGUC
rnacentral:rRNA from 1 species